rnacentral:rRNA from 1 species
AUUGAACGCUGGCGGCAGGCCUAACACAUGCAAGUCGAACGAGUGGCGGACGGGUGAGUAAUGUCUGGGAAACUGCCUGAUGGAGGGGGAUAACUACUGGAAACGGUAGCUAAUACCGCAUACCAUCAGAUGUGCCCAGAUGGGAUUAGCUUGUUGGUGGGGUAACGGCUCACCAAGGCGACGAUCCCUAGCUGGUCUGAGAGGAUGACCAGCCACACUGGAACUGAGACACGGCCCAGACUCCUACGGGAGGCAGCAGUAGGGAAUCUUGGGCAAUGGGCGCAAGUCUGACCCAGCAACGCCGCGUGUGUGAAGAAGGUUUUCGGAUCGUAAAACUCUGUCGUUAGGGAAGCGGUACCUAAACAGAAAGCCACGGCUAACUACGUGCCAGCAGCCGCGGUAAUUC